UCCGUGUUCACCACGGCAGUCUCCUUAGAGAGCCCAACUGAAUGCUGGCAACUAAGGACAAGGGUUGCGCUCGUUGCGGGACUUAACCCAACAUGUCACCACACGAGCUGACGACAGCCAUGCAGCACCUGUCAUCCUGCCCUAUUGCUAGGGAGACCGUAUCUCUACGGCUGUCAGGAGAUGUCAAACCCAGGUAAGGUUCUUCGCGUUGCUUCGAAUUAAACCACAUGAUCCACCGCUUGUGCGGGCCCCCGUCAAUUCCUUUGAGUUUUAGUCUUGCGACCGUACUUCCCAGGCGGGGUACUUAGUGCGUUAGCUCCGGUUCGGCAGGGGUCAAGACCCACCAAACCUAGUACCCAUCGUUUACAGCGUGGACUAC
rnacentral:misc_RNA from 1 species